rnacentral:misc_RNA from 1 species
AACUCUCUGUGCCACGCUGACUGGGGAAAUGCCAGCGGGGCGCGAUGUGGGCGUGUGGCCACUGGGUGAGGCGUGUGCCACUCGCUUGAAAUGCAUGCUGCAGACACGCGGCGCUUUGUGGGAUAACAUCCUUCAUGGGGCGCCUGUCGUGUGAUCACUGCAGCAGGACCGGUUGGGUGUGUGUGUGUGUGUGUGUGGUCGGUGAGAAAUCGCCGCCGCCGCCACCCGCCAUCAUUUUACA